ACACGCUCCUCCCAGCUCGGUGAAGCUCCCCAUGUGAUCCGUUCUUCCCCCUAAAUAAAGUUGACAAAUCUGGCUGUGCUCAGAGUGCUGCCGAGGGGGUGCGGAGCUCUUCCCCUCUCCGCAGCUGCGGCACCGCCGCCGCACCGGGGCCGCGCCGGGCCGGGCUCGGGGCUCCAGCACGGGGGGGCUCGGGGCUCCCAGCACCGCUGCCCCCUCUGGAGGAGCCCAGCGAGCCGAGCAGGAUGCGGCCGGAGCAGAAGGAAACCUCAAGUGUAAUGAAGACAGAACAGGCUGAACAACUGCUAAGAGCAGAGUCCUCUUGUUCACCAGGAUAAAACUAGUCUAAAGUGAGAGACCGGGGCUAGAACUUUGUACACUUCAUUAAAAGAUUAAUUGACUUGCUUAAUCCGUUAUCUAUGAUGCCAAUUAUAGCACUGGAUGUAAUCACAAGGGGCUUAUGUAAAUUCCAUUUCCAAGGAUGAGCACAUGUGAAAAUCUAAUACAGGUAAUUUUUCCUCUUUUAUUUUGGGAUUAACAAUAGAGAAGAAAAAGGCAUAAAGAGGUUUUUUGAUUUGAGGACUUUCCAGAUAAAUCUAUGGUGUUUAACACCUACAAACCUGGUGACACUGCAAAUAUCCCUGAAGUGUCUUUCUGGAACAAGCCAUACUCCAAAGGAUAGAGAUUCUACAAGGAAGGAGGAAGCCUGGCUGAGAGAUUUCCACCUUAAGAUUUAAAAAAACACUUUAAGCAGCCAAAAAUAAAUAUUUCUGUGUAAAUAGGUACAUAUUUAAAACAGUCCUAAACCCUUUGUUCUUACAUGGGGGUUUAUAGAAGAUGCAGCAAGGCUAAAAAUCUCAUUACAUGUUUUUCAAAGCCUUUUCUCCUUCUUCCAUUCCUUCCUCCUCUCCUUCCCUCCUCCUUGUCCCCCCUCCCAUUUGUUCCCACUCCCACUCUGCCUUUUGUCUGCUGCUCCACAGUUCUGGAGGAGGAGGAAGAGCCAUUUACAUUCCAGGUUUCCAGCAUGAUGGAGACCCUUCAUCCAAAGGUUUUUCACAUCAAAAAGAUGCAAAUUCAGAGAAAAGGAGCCACAUUCUUCUCUAAUGCAAUUAAAAUGGAAGAGAUAAUUUGAAAGGCAGCAGGGAGAGUUACAAGAAAGCUGAAGGCAAAAGGAAAGCAAGGCUGAAACUGUAUUAAAAAAUCAAUGUGUAUUUAGGGUUAUAUAAAUAGUAGAAGUAAUUCAGCAUUGGCACAGAGAAUGUGGGGAUGAGAACACGAGAGAGACACACAGAGACAGAAAACAAGACUCUCCUGCUACUGAUAUCAGAUUUCUUAUAUUAACUCACAAGGAGCAGGUUUAUAGUUUCAGGUCAGUCACCUUAACUUUGGGAAAAUGUUUUUGUGUUGCUCUGAGAAAGAGUACUGUACCUUUUUCUCACUUGCUGCUGGUUUAUCAACCUCUAUGGUCCUUAUCAACCAUCUUUAAUCUCCAGCAUCAGGAAGACAAAGGAAGACUGAGUUCCUCAAAAGUCAGGGGUGAGAAAUCAGCUUCCCACUGACAAGGAAGUUGCAGGAGCUCAUGUGAUUCCUGGCCUUCAUCCUUCUGAUGAAGCUGAAGAUUCCAGACAUCACCAAACUUGCUCCUUCCUUUGAAACACAGAAUCAGAAAGCAGAGUUAUACCAACAACAUAAACCCCCAAACCACGUCCAAUGAAAACUUCCUACAAGUCUGAUCUCCCACAUGUUAUUUUGACUUAAUUUUUUUUAGGGAUCCAAUGCAAAUCAUCAGUAGUCUCUUUAAUACAACACUGAUAACAUCAUUACUGCCAAGGCUCUGGCAAACAGAGGCAAGGGCUGCCCUUAUGAAAAGGGAGGAAUCUCAGUGAAAUUAAAAAGCUGUUGAUGAACAUUGUUAUCCCUUUUCAGUAAUUCAGGUUUUUGACAGUUGCCAAUAACCUGAAUUAAUCUUGAGACACUGAUUUUUGUGACUGCAAUUUGCUUUGUUCCUCUCACAUAAAUUGCAUCCAACCCACUCUUACUUUUCCAUCCUCAAAAACUACAAAAAAACCCUUAAAAAUCUGUUUCUCUCUCCUUUGUUGGAGUAUUCAGAGGCACAGAGGUCAAGCCUGGAGAAUAAAAGGAAAGACAAUGCCUGUCCUAUUAGAAAACAAGGAACAGGUUUUAUCCUCCCCACCUUAUACUGAGUUGUACUAAAACAAAAAGACAUGGAAACAGGAGCCAGGGUAGGGAAGUCCAUCCCUAGGCAAAGACAUGUUCUACAUCAACAGUCUGAGUUUAUAUAAGUAUCAAACUAAAACAUCACUAUUUCAUUAAAAGGUUUAAAAAUGUAACUUACAGGUUUUCUAAUGUGCUUUCACAACAAGUUUAUUCUAACAAAUCGGUAUUUCCAGACCAAAAAAAAAUAAUAAAAAUCACUCCCAUUAUUUUUUUCAAUACCUCAAUCUUUCUAACAUAUUUUAUUAAAUGUUAAUGGGAAUUAAAUGUGCACAGGCCUGAAAUCCUGGUUUGCAUGUUUGCAAUGCUCAGGCCAAAUACACUGAAGAAUUAUGACUCACACAAAACCAACAAAACAAGGGAAGAAUUAUUUAUUCUCUGCUGCUUGAAUUAAAUCAGAGCAUGGACAAGGAAGAAUGUUUGGGGGGGGGGGUUUAAGGGAAAGUUUCCUUUUCUUUGCACAUCCUCUGUUUGAACUUCCCGAAGUUCCUCUGUGUCCACCUCCCCAGCUCUGGAAUCACAAGGACCUGGAUUAUCAGCCAGUACUGUCCCUGCAUGAUCCCUUUCAAUGUUGGAGUUGUGUCAGGAUUUCCUUGUUCACCCAAACAGCCCUUCCCCUUCCAACUGACACCCAGGCAUGUUGACUCCCAGGACAAAGCAAGAGUUCUCCCAUAAAACUUCCUUCUUGGCACUUGCAGACACGGGAGGUGGGUCCCUGCAGCCCCCGUUUGCAGUUUUUCAGGUUUCUCUCACCCUUCUUGCCAUCCUGGGUCCCUGAUCUGUGUCCAAGCAGCAGGAAGGAGUAUUCUGUGCCCUCAGGAAGCAAAGGCAGAGUGGAAGGUGGUGGUGGCACCCCACGGUUUGUCACAGCUGCAGCAGAGCCACCAACAGAGUCCUCACACACUGUUUUGAAAGGAUUUCUCCAUAAAAGCAGCUUCUACCCCAAAAUGCAGCUGGAGCACAAGCAGAACUUUGCAGAUUUAAGAUUUUAAAAGCAUUCCUGUUUUGAUUUUGAAAAGCCACAUAUCUGAACUGAUGGAGAAAUGGAGUUACAGAUGCCAUGCCUGCACCUUCCUGAGCAGUCCAGUCCAGCACCAGCUGCCUAAUGACUUUAAAUCCUUCAUAUUUUAUUUUCCCCUCAGGAAUCUGAUAGCUGUGGAUACAGAUGAAAUGAGAUACAGGCUCAGGGCCUUUUUCCAGGCUCCAGAUUUGCAGUGAGGGGACCUCCCCAAGUCCAGGAUAACGAGGACAAAAACCCCCAAUCCAAACCCUCUCCAGACAAUCUCUGUCUGAGAGCAGAUAUCAGAGAGGAGGGGAAAUAAAACCUCUUCGUGAGAGCUCCUGUUUGCAGCUGAUUUUGUUCACGCGUGUGGUGUGAGCAAACACAAGUCACAAAACCUGUCUUUGAUUUCACCCUCUUUUGGGAAUAUCUGGGAGAAGAAAAGAAACACCUCUCAAUGCAACAAUUCCUAAGAUAUAAAGUCCACCUGUUGCAGUGACUUAAGCCCAAGGAUAAGCUCUGCCACCACAAUGUUACUGGAAUAUUGAUUUGAUUUUCUCCAGUUCUCUCCUCUAGAACACAAAGAAUCCCAAACUGGCACUAGGCUGAGCUUUCUCCUGACCCUCGGUGAAGAAGACAACACAUUCCUGACCUCCUGACUUGGGAUACAGAGGAGCUGUGCUAUAAACUUUGUGCCACAGGCUGUUACUCCUGCCAUCCCUGCCUUCCAAAACAAAGAACACUUCUGAUCUCACCUAUGCCUGGAGAACUUGAGGAGAAAACCAUCUCCUGGAUGACACAGGUGCCAAGGGAAUCGUAGUUCUUGCUUCAUUGGGAAUUUUGAGAACACCUCCUGAAUCCAAAUGAGGCCCAAGUUCACAGAGGUCCCUGGACCUGCACUUUUGGCCUCACCAGACUAUGAAAACUUUGCUAAAUUAAAUACAACAAGGGACACUGAAAGUGAGCAGCUGGAGGGGUCCCUGUCGUCCACCAUUGCGCUGAUCGUCGUGCUGACCAUCAUCUUCUCCUUGGUAAUGACAUCCCUAAUAACCUACUGCUUCCACAAGUGGAAACUUAGAGGGAAAAGACUGCAGAAAGCACAAGAGGAGUAUCAGAAAGACCAUGAAAAGAGCAUUUGCCAAAGCACAUCUGGACUUGUUUCAUAAAAAAAAAAAAAUGGAAAAAAAGGAUCCACCACGAAGAACUCUUGAAUUACCUGGAAAUGAAAAUAAUGAAAGAACUCCAACUAUGAGAUUUCCAAGCAAAUACAUCCUUGUUUUAUCUAAUUUCUAAGAGUUGUUAGCAGUUUGGAGAUUUCCUACAGCUUUAUUAUACAUAUAUAUAUAUAUAUAUAUUUAUAUAUUUAACCUCAUUUGUGCAAAGUAAAACAUACACAAUCAUUUAUUUCUAAUCUCUUUUGUCAUUUUAAUCUCUCCACAACCUCUCUGGGCAACCUGUGGCAGUGAUUCUUGGCUGUGAGGGUGGGGAGGCCCUGGCACAGGUUGCCCUGAGAAGCUGUGGCUGCCCCAUCCCUGGAAGUGUCCAAGGCCAGGUUGGAGCAACCUGGGCUAGUGGAAGGUGUCCCUGCCCAAGGCAGGAGGUGGCAGUGGAUGAGCUUUAAGGUCCUGCCCAACUCUAACCAUUAUUCUCUGUAUUACUAAACCAGUAAAUUCAAAUCUGCUGCUCAGACUCUUUUAAAAAUCCACUGGAAGGUAAAAAGUCAGAUUUUGGUCAGUGGAAACCAGCUGAUCCAAACCAGUGGAGUUAUGUUGUCUUGCACUGAUGUAACCAUGGGCUGAAGGGGUUGAAAUCCAACUAGAGACUUGAGUAAAUCCGAUUCCCAGAUGCUCAGAGCAGCAGCCUGGUCCUGAAGAACUGCUCGUGUCUUCAGUGCCACUCCAAGCAGGACCAAACCUGAAAUUUAAGUCAAGAUUUCCUGAGAGGUGCUCGUGGCAUUCCAGCCACAAGUGGAUCAAGGACAUCCAACACUAGUGGAACCCAAUUUCCCAAGGGUAGGGCAAGCCCACCACCCUUUUUUUAACUAGGCUUCUAAUUCUUUUUAAACCAACCAUACACCAGUGUGUUUCUAUUUGCAGAGCCUGUAAUAUCAUGUCACAGAGAAAUUACAGAUUUAUUGUGUAGCAUCUCUAAGUCAUAUUUUCUAACAAAGUGAUGGAUGUAAUAUUAAUAGAUGUAACUGUUUUACAAAGUAGAAACCGUGUAAAGUUACCACCAAGCCCCCAGCGCAAGGAUAUAGCUUGCUUGCAAUUACCAGUAAUGCUGUAUGUAUUUUUAAACAAGCUAUAAUACUGUGAUGAUGCUGUAAACUUACUUCUGUAGGCAAAAAAAAAAAAAAAUGUUCUAUUUAAAAAUGUCAAGAUGAAAGAUGUAAAUGUUCUGGAAGUGCUACCAACUAAAAAUAUGAAUUUUCACAGAAUAUACUAAAGAUUCUGUUCCAUGCUACAGAUAUAUUUUACAAAGGUAUUUAUGGGUCAUACACACCAGUCUGUGAGAACAGUAUUAUUUUAUUACAAAAUAAAUACAUGAAUAAACAAGCAGUGAAUAUCCAUGCCCAGAA